rnacentral:RNase_P_RNA from 2 species
UCCUCUUCAACGCUGCGUUUCUAUGCGACAAACGGAAAGUCUUGUUCACACACUACUUUCGACCUCUUCGGAGGAUCCUUUACGCAUAUGAGAAAUUCGGAGAAUCUGCUUCACACCAGUUCGUCCGUCCCACAGCCUUCCUCGGAGGGUUGUGUCGAUGGGUCGCGAGCUCUGCCGGUGACGGCUUGACGCAACUCUGCGUCUGUAAUUGGCAUCAGAAAAGCAGGGCCCAGGAGAGGCUGCUUUGGCGGUUUUCUUGCUGGUGUCCCUCUGGGAGAGUCAUUACGAAGCUUGUGAGAAAAUCACUUGAGUGCAAUACGCGGCGUGUGGCUGUCUCUCUUCGGACGGGCAGCCUCAUCCUUCGAUUCCGAUUACUCUGUUGAGGA